UACGUAGGUGGCAAGCGUUGUCCGGAAUUAUUGGGCGUAAGGCGCGCGCAGGCGGUCCUUUAAGUCUGAUGUGAAAGCCCACGGCUCAACCGUGGAGGGUCAUUGGAAACUGGGGGACUUGAGUGCAGAAGAGGAAAGUGGAAUUCCACGUGUAGCGGUGAAAUGCGUAGAGAUGUGGAGGAACACCAGUGGCGAAGGCGACUUUCUGGUCUGUAACUGACGCUGAGGCGCGAAAGCGUGGGGAGCAAACAGG
rnacentral:rRNA from 1 species